rnacentral:rRNA from 1 species
UACGAGUGCCUCAAGCGUUAUCCGGAAUUAUUGGGCGUAAAGGGUGCGUAGGAGGGCAGGUAAGUCAGUGGUGAAAUCUCCAAGCUUAACUUGGAAACUGCCGUUGAUACUAUCUGUCUUGAAUAUUGUGGAGGUGAGCGGAAUAUGUCAUGUAGCGGUGAAAUGCUUAGAUAUGACAUAGAACACCAAUUGCGAAGGCAGCUCGCUACACAUAUAUUGACUCUGAGGCACGAAAGCGUGGGGAUCAAACAGG